rnacentral:misc_RNA from 1 species
CAGCAAUGUACAGCUUCCCAGUAAAUAUCACAGUACCAGUAAGGGGCAGAGGGCCCUUUGCUUAAUCAUGAUGUCUUUGACUUGUUCUGGUAUGAACAGAGUAUAAAACCUAAAUUAUCCAGUUGGUAUUGAAGUACUUGCAGUUUGAAAAGCCAAAGAAAUUGGAACUUUUUCUCUCAAGGAAAUUUCACACUUGAUGACAAUGAUUCAUCAGUCAAGAGUUUUUAUUUUUGGCAAAUCAGCAUUUGAAUAAUUACCAAAAGACAAAAGGAGAAGCCUAACUAACAAUUUAACCAACAAAACACUACUGCCAUUAAAGCAAUCAACCCAAUCAUUGUUAAUAUAAAUCAAAAAUAAUAACAAAAUCUACUUCAAUACACAAAUGCAUCAUUCUAAAUUUAUAAUAAUCAGAUAAAUAUUAACUUUUUACUCCACCUGCAAAAUAAUUAAUCCAAGCUUCAAAGAGUAAUGCUUGGUUAAAUGGGCUCAAGCCUGGACUAUUAAUGAGAUGAUAACAUCUCUGACCUGAUACCUGCUAUAGCGUUCCUGCUAUCAAGAAUUCGAUUUUCCAGUACCAUCGGCCAAUUCACCAGAAUUCCCUGAUGAGUUUAGCUCAUCCCACGCGUCAAUCCAUGUUACCAUGGCAUCUGCUAGCUUGAUAAAGUAUUCAUCAACUUUACCAAGUUUUGCUCUGACUUGCUUGGAGAGUUCAAUGUAGCACUUCUGAACAGUGUUGCAGUCCUUAGGAAGGACUGCAGACUGAAAAAAUGGGAUCAGCUCUUCCUGCCAGUAGAUUCCUUUGUAUUCCUUCUUUAGGUUCACAAAUGGGUUGCUUGCUUUGCUGUGAUAGAUGUAAGGCAAUCCUGUCUUCACUCCAAAACCCAAGUGGUCACAUAUAACCUUAGUGCACCAGCCAGCCCACAUAUCAUCAUAGCGUCCAAUUGGCUGACCAUCGCCCAUGAGACCAAAGUACAUUGCAGGACCAAUCAAUUCCCGGUUGAACGCCAGAUUCAUACCACACAUGGGGAACAAGGUUCCCUUUGGUAUUGUCAUUACAGCAUCCACAUACCUGGUGUUCCUCUCAAGAGGCUUGACAAGCUGCGUGGGGGCAUCAUAAUCUGGAAUGUUGAGCCAAAGGCCAUGAGAUACAGCUGUGGGGACACCCUCACGAAGGCUAAACGGAUACCCACGGACAAAAUCUGCACCAUUUCGGUAUGGGUCAUACAGGGUGUUGAAGAAAAAUGGAGUGGAUGGACUCAGAAGGUUCUUUAUGUGCUGCUCAAGUGCAUUAAUAUCUUUGCCAGAAGGAUCUUUGGCAACAAAGCAGUCAUCAUCAAUGGUAUAAACAUACUUCUUCUUAGAAACCAAGUAGCCAAAGCACCUACAAGCAGAGUCCUUGAAGGAAAUACAAGAAGCUUUGGGACCAAGAAUCCUGUUAAUAUCAUUCCUGUUGUGGAGCUCAUAGUCGAAACCUUCAGGGACCUUAAUGGUCUUUGAAGGGUCACCGUCCUGGACAAUGAUGAGAUGGUAUGGCUGAAAGAAUGGCCUCCACAUCUCCAAGAAAUCGAGGUUUCUGAUGGUAGGGAUGACGAUGUCGAGCUCAUCUUUCAACAGAGGAGUCGGAGUCAGGGACACUGCUGUCUCGGCCAUUGUGGUGAGUGCUUUGGAUCAGAUAAAGAAAGAGAGUUGAAGUUGAAGAUUGAUUGUGGCUGUGAGUUAGUACUUGUAGUGAGAGAAAAUGUUUUGUACUGGGACUUGAGA